rnacentral:rRNA from 1 species
UACGGGGGGGGCAAGCGUUGUUCGGAAUUACUGGGCGUAAAGGGCUCGUAGGUGGCCAACUAAGUCAGACGUGAAAUCCCUCGGCUUAAUCGGGGAACUGCGUCUGAUACUGGAUGGCUUGAGUUCGGGAGAGGGAUGCGGAAUUCCAGGUGUAGCGGUGAAAUGCGUAGAUAUCUGGAGGAACACCGGUGGCGAAGGCGGCAUCCUGGACCGACACUGACGCUGAGGAGCGAAAGCCAGGGGAGCAAACGGG